rnacentral:lncRNA from 1 species
ACUAAGAGGGUUAAAAUCAUCUAACGUUCCGUAUUGGGCAAAAUGGGCACAAAAAAAUAGGAAAAAAAAUGGGUAGGGGCUUAAUCGCAAAAAAAGAGUUAAAAUCAUAAAAAAAAAAUUGGGAAGAGCAAAAUGACAAAACAAAAAAUUAGAAAAAAUGGGUACGGCCCAAAUUGGAAAAAAAAUGGCGGUCUGUUCAUCAAAAUAAAAAAGUGGCAAGAUAAGAAUAAAAAAAUGAGGGAAGGGAAAAAUCAGCAAAAAAAUGGUGAUAAAAAAAAUUAUGUUCCCAAAAAAGAAAUUAAAAAAAAUGGUUAAGGGAAAUCGAACAAAAAAAGUGGGGGUCAAUCGAAAAAAAAUAGAAAAAAAAUUUUAAGUAAGGGCAAAUCGAUAAAAGAAAUUUAGAAACGAAAAUGGGUAGGGCCAAAACGUGAAAAAAAAUGGUGACGGGAGUUAUUAUUCACUCCAAAAAAAAAUUCGGCCCAAAUUGGUAAAAAAUGGGUAGGCAAAAAUUGGCAAAAAAAUAAAAUGGCUAAAAAAAUAGAUAGGGGCAAAAUCGGCCAAAAACAAUUAGUGUAAAAAAAUAUUGUUCCCAAAAAAGGAAAUGAAAAAGAGUAUGGGCCACAAAGUGGAGGCAAAAUUGAAAAAAAAACUAAAUGAAACAAAAUUAUGGUAGGGGCACAAUCGAAAUAAAAAAAUUAGAGGGUCACAUAAAACUCUAGGGAUCAAAAUAGAAUUAUAAAACAUUUGGGGACUAUUCUAGAUCAAAUGUUCAAAAAUUAGAAAGUUUUGGGACACAAAUUAAUAAAAUACAGAAGUUAUGGGAAAACAAUUAAAAUACACCGUCUACUAAGGGUCAAAAAAUGUAAUUUUAUGCAAUCUAAGGAACAAUACGAAAUUCUUAGAAACUCCAGGGACCAAUUUGUACUAAACAUGAAUUCUAGGGACCAAACUGUAGUAAUAAAAAGUUUAGGGACUGAAAUUAUUAUUUACUGAAAAAAAUUGAAAGAGGGGCCAAAUCGGAACGAAAAGUUGGUGGUCACGUGGUGUAUGUCUACUGACAUUUAUAUAUAGAUAGAUAGAUAGCUAGAUAGAUAGAUAUAUUUCUUUAUUUUUCUUUAAAUUUAUUAGCACACCGAGUUUGGAUAGUUUGAUUGAACGAUUUUAGCUAUUCGAAUUGAGUUUUUCAUCUUUACUGAAGGCUUUGUAUUAUUUGAUCAAAAUUUUAUACUAUUUGAUUUCUCAGAGAAUUUUGAAACAUUAAAAUUUGUUCAAAUUUUGGGUGAAAAAAAAACACUAAACGCUUUUGUGUCCUCCAAUGCUUUUUUUUUUCGAAAUUGAAACUAAAAGUAAGAUUUUUAAAAUUUUUUCUUCAAAAGGAAAUAUAAAAAAAAAAAAAUUAUCAAACGAUGAAAAAUUACUUAUUUCUUUUUUUAUUUAAAAAAAUUAAAUUAAAAAUCAGAGCAACUAAAAUCUAGUAUUAAAGAGCUAAAAAUUGCUUACUCAAACUUUCAGACACACUCCAAAAUACACCUUGUAAUGAGACGUGGGUCCCACAAUAAUUACACAUCUUGUUGGAACCCUCACUUUUAAAAGAGUACGUUGUAGGGGUGUGUUAGGAAAACAGGAAUGCAACUUUAUUUUUAUUAAAAUUAAACAAAUUAAAAUUAAAAAAUAUUUGGGCAUUAAUUGUGGAUUAAACAUCCCAUGUGAAGUAUUAUAUAAAUUUGGAACAAUGUGUAUAUUAGUAGCCUAUUGAAAAACGAAAAUCAAGAUUAGAAAGACAACUUGCAUGUUUAUUCAUCAAAAAAAUUCAUCGGCAAUGACAAAAAUUGAGAAGUUCCGAAAAUUUGAUAAUUAUGAUAACAUUAAUUAGCUUUUAAAAAGAACUUAAGGUUGACGAAUGACGACAUUAAGAAUAUUGAAUUAUAACCUUAAUAAUAAGAGAGGAAAACAAUUAAAUAUUUAUCCAUUUCCUUAUGAUAGUAUGAGCAUGAAUUUGUCAUAUUUGCAAUUUUGGAAACUGUAUCUAGUAACCUAUCACUAGUAGGUUGAUAGACUAGUGAGUUAUAACAAAUUCAAUAUGAAUUUGUGAUUAGCGCUGAUAAACGAACCAAACUACUUGAACUUAGCUCGUGAUUAACUUGUUAAAAGCUCGUUUGAGAUUGACUUGUUGGAUAAAGAAAUCAAACUCGAACAUAUUUUUAAUAUUUGUUAAGUUUUCAAAUCAAAUAGAAUAAUCUACUAUUUAGCUCGAUAAUUUUACAAUGUUUUAAAAAAAAUUAAGUUAUCGGCUCUAUUUAAGUUAAAGUCUGUUUGAACAUAAGUUUGCUUAAUAAACAAAUUAAAACUCGAAAUAUUUUUAAGGAAAAGGUUACAGUUACCGAAAUUGUUAUUGAUGGCACCAAAACGAUAUCGCUUUGUGCCAAAACUCAAAAAUAAAAACAACAAUGCCCAUCAUGGACAAAUGAUUGUUUUUGUGCACCAACCAUCAAUAAAGAUUUCAUAACAUUUUGAUGACUUGUUAGUCUUUUCCUAUUUUUAAAACUCGUUAGUUUUCAAUCAAACUUGACACAAUACUUUCUGGUUGUUCGUUUCAGUUCAUCCGCCCUAUUUUUGAGAUAUCUAUCUGUUAUAACCAUUGCAAUAUAUUAGCCUUUGACUUGAAAUACUCACUUUAAAAUUUUUAGUUUUUUAUCUUAAAAAGAAAAUUAUCCAUGACAAUAAUUAUUGAUUAUUUCAUUAAUAUUGAUUCUUUGACCAUUAUGUAAUACAUUUAAAUAUUAAUUUGUGAAAUUUUCUUGACAUUAUAUAUAGAAAUCAUUUUUGGGGAGUGAGAUAUAGAAACAAUUAAAUGGUAACACUAUUGCAAUUUUAAUAUUCUUAUAAACCUCUAGAAGAUUCCUUCCAUUGUCAUGUUUUUGUCUUCCAUGAAAAAAAGCUCAAUAUUAGAAACAUUUGGCCUGGGGCAAAAAACAAAUUCUUAAGUAAAUUCAAAUAAGGUAGGGCAUGGAUUGGAUGACCCUCCCCUAUACCAGAUUCCAAAUUUGAACUUUAUUUCCAUACUUGCGAUAAAUUAUAAUUGACAAGAAAUACUUAAGCUCAAGAUGUCGAUAAGAUUAUAUAUAAUUAAGAUUUGUAAGCGAGUAUUCGAAGACAAAUUAUCGACUCAUACUUAGUUUAGAGAUUCAAUAGCUUUUAACCAUAUGUGCUCCUAUCUGGAAUAAACCAAAAAAUAUAUUAUAUAUGUUCAUUCAGUCCCAAUUUUUAAAAUUUUUCGGUUUGAAAUUAACCCAUCUUUAUUUCCGUGCACUCGAAAAAAAAAACAAACCACAAUUUGUUAGUGUUUAUUUGUUCAUGUUUUAGAAAAUUGUAUGUUCUAAUAGUUUUUCAAAACUUGUUUUAUGAUGGGUUUUUAAAAAUAAUAAUCUAAUUAUAAAACUAUUUUUUUAAAAUAAUAUAUAUAUAUAUAUUAAGAUUAUAAAUCAGGACUUAGUUUUGAAUCCAAAAUCUUAUCUCUCGCUAUCUUAACGACUCAAAUAUUCAUUUGGAAUUGGAUCCAACGGCCAGAUUUCACUUGAAAAAAUUAUUUUUUUUCGCCCAAAAAACAUCACUGACACGUCCCUCUCCUCUCCUCCCAUCAUUCUCACUUUCCUCUCUUAAUCAUCACUUUCUCCCUUUUUAAUGGGACCUUACACACCUUUAUUUUUCUCUAUUUUUAAUUUAUUUAUUUAAUAAAUUUAAUUAUUAUUUGGAUCAAAUUUUAUAUUAUUAUAAUUAUUUUGACGAUAAGAGCCUAAAAAUAUAACAAAUUUUUAUUUUGAAGAUAAAGUAAUAAUUAUUUUUAGUGAACUUUUCCCCUUAAAUUUGAUAUUUUUUAUAUUUUUAGAUUCUUUUUUAUUAAGAGAAAUGAGAAAAAUAUAAAAAUAUUGAUUUAAUUAUUAAAACAAAUCACGAAAGCGAUAAAAUUUAAAAAAAUAAAGCAAACAAAAAAAUUACUUUCAAAUAGAAAGGAAAGUUAGUAAACACUUUUUUAUUUAAUUGUACUUUUUUUAUAUUUAUUGAAUUUUAAUUCCAUGUGUUGUGUAAAAAUAUUUGAAAUAAAAAUGAAUAUUUAAAUAUUUUAUCAAAUAUACAAUACACAAUAUUUUAAAAUCUUUCUAACCUAUCUAUAACUAUCCUAUAUUAUAAAUCAGGACUUAGUUUUGAAAUUCAAAUCUAUUUUCUCGCAUCUACGGCUCAAAUUCCAUUAAGUUUAAUUCCAACGGCUCCGAUUUCACUACUUGAAAUUAUUUUUUUUUUCCGCUCAAAACAUCACUUUCACUCCCUCUCUCAUCUCCUCCCAUCACUCUCACUUUUCUCUCUCAAUCAAUAACUUCUUUCUUUUUGUAGUGGGAGCCUACACACCUUUAUUUUUCUCUCAUUUUUUAAUUUUUGAAUUUAUAAAUUUUAUUUAAUUAUUUAAUAAAAAAUUUUUAUAUUAUUAUAAUUAUUUUGACAUAUAGCCUAAAAAUAAAAAAACAUCUUUUAUUUUGAAGAUAAAAAUAAAUAAUUUAUUUUUUUAGUGAACUUUCUCUUAAAUUUUAUAAUUUUUUUUAUUUUUUAUAAUUCUUUUUUAUAAGGAAAAGAGAAAGAAUCUAAAAAUUAAUUAAAUUGGUAAAAAACUUUUCACUAAAAACUAUAAAUUUAAAAUAAAGCAAACCAAAAAAUUGCUGUCAGAAUAGAAGGAAUUAGUUCAUUUUUUAUUAAUUAUAUUUUUUUUUUAAUAUUUAGUAAAAUUAAUUUGCCCAAUGAAUGUUUGUAAGAAUAUUUGGGUAAAAUAAAUAUUUAAAUAAAUUUUAUCAUACUUAAGGACAAAAAUCUAUAAUUAUAAACACACAUAUUUUUAAUAUUUUAAACUAACUUAUCUAUAUUAUAAAUCACAACUCAUUUGAAUCACAAAUCUAUCUCUCGCUAUCUACGGUUAAAUCUAUUAUGAGGCUACUCCAACAAACUUGAGAUUU